UUUUAUUUAUGCUAUACUGAUAUUGAAAGUGUAUAUUUUUUCUUAUUUUGCUGUCUUUUUUAAAUUGAUAGUAGUUAGCAACAAUAUGACAUGAGUGUGACAUGAGUGUAUUAAUAAUUCAGCUGUGGUUAAAAAAAAAUGUCUGAAAAAAUUUACGAUACUGGUAGUCUAAAAAUUCUUCUAAGAUGAAAUAAUCUGAGUAUAAUUGAACACUG
rnacentral:lncRNA from 1 species